GACGAACGCUGGCGGCGUGCUUAACACAUGCAAGUCGAACGAAGUGGCGAACGGGUGAGUAACGCGUAAUCAACCUGCCCUUCAGAGGGGGACAACAGUUGGAAACGACUGCUACUACCGCAUACUGAAGGAGGGGAUUGCGUGGGAUUAGCUAGUUGUGGGGGUAACGGCCCACCAAGGCGAUGAUCAGUAGCCGGUCGGCGAGUAUGAUCGGCCACAUUGGCACGGAGACACGGCCCAGACUCCUACGGGAGGCAGCAGUGGGGAAUCUUCCGCAAUGGACGAAAGUCUGACGGAGCAACGCCGCGUGAGUGAUGACGGCCUUCGGGUUGUAAAGCUCUGUUAAUCGGACGCGGUACCGGAAUAGAAAGCCACGGCUAACUACGUGCCAGCCGCCGCGGUAAUAC
rnacentral:rRNA from 1 species